rnacentral:tRNA from 1 species
GCCUAGGUAGCUCAGUCGGUAGAGCAGCGGACUGAAAAUCCGCGUGUCGGUGGUUCGAUUCCGCCCCUGGGCA